GGUGUAGCUCAGUAGAUAGAGUACUUGCUUAGCAUGCAUCAAAUCCUGGGUUCAAAUCCCAACACC
rnacentral:tRNA from 1 species